rnacentral:tRNA from 1 species
GCGGGUGUGGCGAAGUGGUUAACGCAUCGGGUUGUGGUCCCGACACUCGUGGGUUCGAUCCCCACCAACCGCC